AUUGAACGCUGGCGGCAGGCCUAACACAUGCAAGUCGAGCGAGCGGCGGACGGGUGAGUAAUGUCUGGGAAACUGCCUGAUGGAGGGGGAUAACUACUGGAAACGGUAGCUAAUACCGCAUACCAUCAGAUUGGCCCAGAUGGGAUUAGCUAGUAGUUGGGGUAACGACUCACCUAGGCGACGAUCCCUAGCUGGUCUGAGAGGAUGACCAGCCACACUGGAACUGAGACACGGUCCAGACUCCUGCGGGAGGCAGCAGUGGGGAAUAUUGCACAAUGGGCGCAAGCCUGAUACAGCCAUGCCGCGUGUGUGAAGAAGGCCUUCGGGUUGUAAAGCACUUUCAGCGGGGAGGCGUUACCCGCAGAAGAAGCACCGGCUAACUCCGUGCCAGCAGCCGCGGUAAUAC
rnacentral:rRNA from 1 species